UACGUAGGGUGCUAGCGUUGUCCGGAUUUAUUGGGCGUAAAGGGCUCGUAGGCGGUCGGGUAAGUCUGAUGUGAAAUCUCACAGCUUAACUGUGAAACUGCAUUGGAUACUAUCCGGCUCGAGGAAUGGAGGGGAGACUGGAAUACUUGGUGUAGCAGUGAAAUGCGUAGAUAUCAAGUGGAACACCAGUGGCGAAGGCGAGUCUCUGGACAUUUCCUGACGCUGAGGCACGAAAGCCAGGGGAGCAAACGGG
rnacentral:rRNA from 1 species